UCGGGAAUUUUGGGCAAUGGGCGAAAGCCUGACCCAGCAACGCCGCGUGAAGGAUGAAAUCCCUCGGGAUGUAAACUUCGCAAGAACGGGAAGAAUAAGUAAGAGUUAACAUCUCUUAUGAUGACGGUACUGUUUGUAAGCUCCGGCUAACUCCGUGCCAGCAGCCGCGGUAAUACGGGGGGAGCAAGCGUUGUUCGGAUUUACUGGGCGUAAAGGGCGCGUAGGCGGCCACCGCAAGUCGACUGUGAAAUCUCCGGGCUUAACUCGGAAAGGUCAGCCGAUACUGCGGGGCUAGAGUGCAGAAGGGGCAACUGGAAUUCUCGGUGUAGCGGUGAAAUGCGUAGAUAUCGAGAGGAACACCUGCGGCGAAGGCGGGUUGCUGGGCUGACACUGACGCUGAGGCGCGAAAGCUAGGGGAGCGAACGGGAUUAGAUACCCCGGUAGUCCUAGCCUUAAACGAUGAAUGCUUGGUGUCUGGGGUUUAUAGUCCCGGGUGCCGUCGCUAACGCUUUAAG
rnacentral:rRNA from 1 species